UGGGGAAUUUUGCACAAUGGGGGAAACCCUGAUGCAGCGACGCCGCGUGAUUUAGAAGGCCUUCGGGUUGUAAAAAUCUUUUUUAUGGGAUGAAAAUGACAGUACCAUAAGAAUAAGGUCCGGCUAAAUACGUGCCAGCAGCCGCGGUAAUACGUAUGGACCGAGCGUUGUCCGGAAUCAUUGGGCGUAAAGGGUACGUAGGCGGCCCAGUAAGUUAGAAGUGAAAUAAUAUAGCUCAACUAUAGUAAGCUUUUAAAACUGCUCAUCUUGAGGUAUGGAAGGGAAAGUGGAAUUCCUAGUGUAGCGGUGAAAUGCGCAGAUAUUAGGAGGAAUACCGGUGGCGAAGGCGACUUUCUGGCCAUAUACUGACGCUGAGGUACGAAAGCGUGGGUAGCAAACAGG
rnacentral:rRNA from 1 species